UUUGUUUUGGCUUCGUUCGGGUAGUCCGUGAGCAGUUCAUUCAUAAUCCUCCACAUCGGCAUCGAGGGCAUCGAGAUCGACGGUUCUGAGAUCAGAACCGGGUCAACAAAAUUUUCAACCUCGCAAAUCGCUGAGAAACCACCGGAAUAUGGAUUUCUGAAUUCCACUCGGCAAAACUGGGCGAGCAAAUUAAAUAAAUUCUUCGAAAUCGACUGGACGGAUCACAAAAUAUAUUCUACUUCUUACCUAUGAAGAUCGGACCGGAUCAACACUUCGUCGGAAAACGGGUCAAUGCAUCGAAAAUAACAGGUAUGUUCCGCAAUUCCUCGUCACCCGAUUUGCUACCAAUCCGUAGGCACCAGGAUCGUAAAAUUUUGUUACGGUGGAAUCAAACGGAAACGGAUAUGGCAACAGCGCCCGUAGCUUUUCGGUUCAAUAGUAGCACCAAGUAGAGCCAUCCGAACGUACGUAACGACGCACUAAGGGAACAAGCGGGAAUGGCAAUGAGGACGGUAGCAAAGUGGACAUUGCACGAUUGUUCUUCGCUGGCGAGCAAACUAUUCGAAAUAGACUGGCACCGAUUACAGGAUGUUGCUCAGUCACCUACGGGAAAUUGGUUGGAUGAAGAAUUACACGGGCCGAUGAUGGUGGGGAAUAUGUCUGUUCCCUACCGAAUAAGAACAACCGGGAACUGAAAAUAUUGUAAUUCCUUUAGGGAUUUAGGGAAUGAUGAAAGGUACCCAAUUUUCAAUAACCAAUGUAACUAAAAUGAAACAUGAAUAAAAUAAAAAUG